rnacentral:rRNA from 1 species
GUGGGGAAUUUUGCGCAAUGGGCGAAAGCCUGACGCAGCAACGCCGCGUGGGUGACGAAGUCCCUUGGGACGUAAAACCCUGUCGGCUGGGACGAAACUUCCCGCAAGGGAAACUGACUGUACCAGCAAAGGAAGCCCCGGCUAACUCCGUGCCAGCAGCCGCGGUAAUACGGGGGGGGCAAGCGUUGUUCGGAAUUACUGGGCGUAAAGGGCGUGUAGGCGGCUUGGUAAGUCAGUUGUGAAAGCCCCAGGCUCAACUUGGGAAUUGCAACUGAAACUGCCUGGCUAGAGUUCAGGAGAGGAGAGCGGAACUCCCAGUGUAGCGGUGAAAUGCGUAGAUAUUGGGAGGAACACCGGUGGCGAAGGCGGCUCUCUGGACUGAAACUGACGCUGAGGCGCGAAAGCUAGGGGAGCAAACGGGAUUAGAAACCCUGGUAGUCC